rnacentral:rRNA from 1 species
UACGAAGGGGGCUAGCGUUGCUCGGAAUUACUGGGCGUAAAGCGCACGUAGGCGGCUUUGUAAGUUAGAGGUGAAAGCCCGGGGCUCAACUCCGGAACUGCCUUUAAGACUGCAUCGCUUGAAUCCGGGAGAGGUGAGUGGAAUUCCGAGUGUAGAGGUGAAAUUCGUAGAUAUUCGGAAGAACACCAGUGGCGAAGGCGGCUCACUGGACCGGUAUUGACGCUGAGGUGCGAAAGCGUGGGGAGCAAACAGG